GUUUUAAAUAGGAUUUCCCUUCUUUUGAGUUGAGCUCAUACUCAGAGGCGGGGUGACACUGCGGGCGCCUCCGCUGAGAUCAGGACAACUUGUCUCUUGGACUGUAAUUCCAGACAGAAGAGGAGUCAAAGGCUGAAGCACCCGGGAGGAUGAAGGGGGAGCAGAAAGGGGGGAGGUGGCAGUUGGAGGAUUAGUUGCUAAAAUUAAAAGAAUAAAAAAAAAAAAAUACUGCAAGAGGACAAUUCAGACCAAAUAUAAAAAUCAACAUUUAUUCAACGGAUAAAGGAAACUCAGGCCAUUGUGACUUCAAGGGGCCAUCAGUGGGACAUCCCAGCAGGGGAACAAAACCUCAGAGGGCCUCUCGGCUUCACAAGGACAAGAUGAAGAGUCCCAAGGAGAUGGAGACUGUCCUGGCAGCUUGGGGCCUGCAGCAGCAAUCACUAACUAGAUGGGGAAGCCCACCCGUUACAUUUCAGCUAACUCUGGUCCUCUCCCGGUGACGUGCGGUGACGAUCUGCCGGAUUUGUCCUGUCAGUUUAAGGAGAACCAAAUGAUUUCUUCGGUGAAGUUCCUUGACGCCGAUUUGCCUGAUCUUCACUUUCUGCACCCUUCCCUGUGUUGUCGAUUUCAUUUUAGAUGGACACAUUGGCUAUUUUCACUCCUCAAUCUACACUCGAUGACCCAUCAUGCCACAGUGAGAAUGUGCUGCAAAUGUAUGAAAAAUCAUAAAACUGAAGUCUUUCCUUCCUUAGGAGUAUUCAGACCCUUUGCUGUGCCACUCCAGACACUGCUCAGGUCCUCCCUGUUUGCUUUAAUUCCCCUCGUGUUGUGUCCAGAACUUGAUUGGAGUCCAUCUGUGGCAAACUGAAUCGUUUAGUAAACCGUACGUGGACUGGCGUGGGGAAUUGUACACAAUUGAUAUGGCACGUCAGAACAAACACCAAUCCAUGAUAUUUAAGGAACUCUGUGGACACCUUUGGUACUGUGUCUCUUCAGAGAAUCCUUGAGUAUCACUGGUCUGACUUUGUGUUGCUCAUAGGGGU